rnacentral:rRNA from 1 species
AACGAACGCUGGCGGCAUGCCUAACACAUGCAAGUCGAACGAGACCUUCGGGUCUAGUGGCGCAAGGGUGCGUAACGCGUGGGAACCUGCCCUUAGGUUCGGAAUAACUCCCCGAAAGGGGUGCUAAUACCGGAUAAUGUCUUCGGACCAAAGAUUUAUCGCCUUUGGAUGGGCCCGCGUUGGCUUAGCUAGUUGGUAGGGUAAAAGCCUACCAAGGCGACGAUCCAUAGCUGGUCUGAGAGGAUGAUCAGCCACACUGGGACUGAGACACGGCCCAGACUCCUACGGGAGGCAGCAGUGGGGAAUAUUGGACAAUGGGCGAAAGCCUGAUCCAGCAAUGCCGCGUGAGUGAUGAAGGCCUUAGGGUUGUAAAGCUCUUUUACCCGGGAUGAUAAUGACAGUACCGGGAGAAUAAGCUCCGGCUAACUCCGUG